GUCCACGCCGUAAACGAUGAAUGCCAGCCGUUAGUGGGUUUACUCACUAGUGGCGCAGCUAACGCUUUAAGCAUUCCGCCUGGGGAGUACGGUCGCAAGAUUAAAACUCAAAGGAAUUGACGGGGGCCCGCACAAGCGGUGGAGCAUGUGGUUUAAUUCGACGCAACGCGCAGAACCUUACCAGCCCUUGACAUCCCGGUCGCGGACUCCAGAGACGGAGUUCUUCAGUUCGGCUGGACCGGAGACAGGUGCUGCAUGGCU
rnacentral:rRNA from 1 species